GACAGAGGGUGCAAACGUUGUUCGGAAUUACUGGGCGUAAAGCGUGUGUAGGCGGCCAUAUAAGUCGGAUGUGAAAGCCCUGGGCUCAACCCAGGAAGUGCACUCGAUACUGUAUGGCUCGAGUACUGGAGAGGUUGGUGGAAUUCUCGGUGUAGAGGUGAAAUUCGUAGAUAUCGAGAGGAACACCGGUGGCGAAGGCGGCCAACUGGACAGAUACUGACGCUGAGACACGAAAGGCGUGGGGAGCAAACAGG
rnacentral:rRNA from 1 species